rnacentral:rRNA from 1 species
CCUACGGGUGGCAGCAGUGAGGAAUAUUGGUCAAUGGCCGGAAGGCUGAACCAGCCAAGCCGCGUGAAGGACGAAGGUGCCAAGCAUUGUCAACUUCUUUUGUCAAGGGACAAAAUCAGGCUCGAGAGCCUGACCGAGGGUACUUGAAGCAAACGCAUCGGCUAACUCCGUGCCAGCAGCCGCGGUAAUACGGAGGAUGCGAGCGUUAGCCGGAUUUAUUGGGGUUAACGGGUGGGUAGGCGGACUGUUAUGUCAGCGGUAAAAGCCCGGGGCUAAACCCCGGCGAGCCGUGGAAACUGGCUGUCUUGAGAGGUCGAGAGGUAUGCGGAAUGCGCAGUGUAGCGGUGAAAUGCGUAGAUA